rnacentral:rRNA from 1 species
AGUGAACGCUGGCGGUAGGCCUAACACAUGCAAGUCGAACGGCAGCACAGUAAGAGCUUGCUCUUACGGGUGGCGAGUGGCGGACGGGUGAGGAAUACAUCGGCAUCUACUUUUUCGUGGGGGAUAACGUAGGGAAACUUACGCUAAUACCGCAUACGACCUACGGGUUAAAGCAGGGGAUCUUCGGACCUUGCGCGUUUGAAUGAGCCGAUGUCGGAUUAGCUAGUUGGCGGGGUAAAGGCCCACCAAGGCGACGAUCCGUAGCUGGUCUGAGAGGAUGAUCAGCCACACUGGAACUGAGACACGGUCCAGACUCCUACGGGAGGCAGCAGUGGGGAAUAUUGGACAAUGGGCGCAAGCCUGAUCCAGCCAUACCGCGUGGGUGAAGAAGGCCUUCGGGUUGUAAAGCCCUUUUGUUGGGAAAGAAAAGCAGCAGGUUAAUACCCCGCUGUUCUGACGGUACCCAAAGAAUAAGCACCGGCUAACUUCGUG